CUACGGGGCGCUGCAGUGAGGAAUAUUGCACAAUGGGGGGAACCCUGAUGCAGCAACGCCGCGUGGAGGAUGACGCAUUUCGGUGUGUAAACUCCUUUUAUAUGUCAAGAAAACGACGGUAGCAUAUGAAUAAGCACCGGCUAACUCCGUGCCAGCAGCCGCGGUAAUACGGAGGGUGCAAGCGUUACUCGGAAUCACUGGGCGUAAAGGACGCGUAGGCGGGUUGGAAAGUCAGGUGUGAAAUCCUACAGCUUAACUGUAGAACUGCACCUGAAACUUCUAAUCUAGAGUAUGGGAGGGGGAGAUGGAAUUAGUGGUGUAGGGGUAAAAUCCGUAGAUAUCACUAGGAAUACCUAAAGCGAAGGCGAUCUCCUGGAACAUAACUGACGCUAAGGCGUGAAAGCGUGGGGAGCAAACAGGAUUAGAUACCCGGGUAGUC
rnacentral:rRNA from 1 species